CCCUACGGGAGGCAGCAGUGGGGAAUAUUGGGCAAUGGGCGCAAGCCUGACCCAGCAACGCCGCGUGAAGGAAGAAGGCUUUCGGGUUGUAAACUUCUUUUCUCAGGGACGAAGAAAGUGACGGUACCUGAGGAAUAAGCCACGGCUAACUACGUGCCAGCAGCCGCGGUAAUACGUAGGUGGCAAGCGUUAUCCGGAUUUACUGGGUGUAAAGGGCGUGUAGGCGGGGAAGCAAGUCAGAUGUGAAAGGCUGGGGCUCAACCCCAGGACUGCAUUUGGAACUGUCAUGCUAGAGUGUCGGGGAG
rnacentral:rRNA from 1 species